UGGUAAAAUAAUUUUAAUAUAUCAAUAGAGCAGGUAUUGCUGUGGUACACAGAUAUGCUUUAUUGCAUUGAACAAGUAGUGGUCAACAGCAGUUUCACAACUAGGCUGGGAUUAACAACAGACUUUGUAUGGACUUUAUACACUGUAUAAAACCCAAAUUAAACAAAAAUACACUUACCCUGGAAUAACAUUCAGCUUCCAGUCACAUCUCUGCAUGAAAAUUGCUGCUUCCAAAUCCAACCCGUGACCUGAGCUUGAAAGCAAAGAACAGGAUGGUGCAGUAUCGCUGAGACCACAUAGUCUGUCAUACCAAAACCAGAGAUUAAGAUGGCACUGCGGAAUAAAACACAAGUUUCUCUGUCACACCCAGCCUACAUUUUUUCCUGAUGAGUUGAUCACUCCUAAUAAUUUCCACUAGCCUGAGAGAACAGAUAAUCUGUUUCCUAUAAAUACAAUAAACAGUGCUUCAAAGGACAUGGCAUUUACUCAGUUCAUCAUUUCAGUGAUUUGAAAUAAAUGUAAAAGGUGUAUAAAGCAACAUGCAGCAGGAUCCCGGGAGAGAGGGUCCCAGGCUGAGCCCCCAUUUUUGCUGCUGAUGAGUUGUGCCAUCUUAGGCCUGUUGCUUUAACCUUCAGCCUGGGUGCAUUUCUCUGCCUCCAUUAAGCAGAUAGUUAACACCUUUUAUAGGGUUCUUACAGUACUGUGUACUGUACAAUCUGUACAGUGCCUGGCAAUAAACUAGGUCCUGAUCUCAUCUGUGCCCUCGCUCCGUGUGACUGGAAAAUGACUGAUAAAAAAUAAUAAUAAGCUCUGAAUAAUUAUGUAUUGUCUUUAUGGUGAAGCAGGCCUUGAGCAUUGAGAGCUUUCCUCUGGGAGAAGUCCCAUUUAAAACAUCUCCCUGGUAUAAAAAUGAAUUGGAUCCUGUCACAUGAAUGGCCUGCAUUUACUAUUCCUUUCACUUACCUUCCAGUCGUUCAUUUUCAGAGCUGACUUGUGCCUGUUCCCUGGUUGUCAGCAGGAAUUGGUUAACAAGAACUUGCUGGAAGUGGAUUAUAAAGUAAACAAACACACACAGGAAGAACUGCUGACUCAGCAGAUGCAUUAUUACAACUAUGAUGUAAAACUAUCAAACAACAAAUGCAACUUCUGA
rnacentral:lncRNA from 1 species